rnacentral:lncRNA from 1 species
CCCAAACUCAAUAAUGUAGGUCUGCUCCAAUUGAUUAGCCCUGAUUAUCUUCUUAAUUACUUAGGAAAUGGGCUGACUUGGUAAGUCUAUCCAUGACUACCCAUGUGGCAUCCUUUCCACAUAUGGUGAUUUAAAAUCCAAUAACAAUGUCCAUAAUCACCAUGCCUCAUUUCUACUCCGGCAAAAGCAAGCUCAAAAAUAACAUAAUAGAUAACUGAUCCUCUGUCAUUGCCAUAUAACAUGUCUGGCACUGCGACGUAAUGUAGUUACAAACAUCUUCAUACUACACCAAUUAUAGUUAACUCUUCAUAUCUUUGUACCCUUUAGUGUUCCUGAUGCGUAGAGAAACACGAGUUAUAUGUUUGUUGUAAGAUUCCUUUUCUUAACAACUCAUCGUCCAACACACAAACUCGGUUUCGGUACAAGUAUAUCCUGCUCAAAGCUGUAUGAUAUCCAAUACUCCCAAUCUCGAUCUGUUCAACCAAAUCCAUAAUGCUAACUCGUGCUUGUGUAUCCUCCAUAGCAAAACUGCCUGCUCCAAGCCUUAAGGCCAUAUGUCUUUCCUUUGACAGUAAUAACACACAAUCUGAGAUUAGCA